rnacentral:rRNA from 1 species
GAUGAACGCUGGCGGCGUGCUUAACACAUGCAAGUCGAACGAAGCACUUAUGAUUGAGAUUUCGGUUGAUUGAUUAAGUGACUUAGUGGCGGACGGGUGAGUAACGCGUGGGUAACCUGCCUCGUACAAGGGGAUAACAGUUAGAAAUGACUGCUAAUACCGCAUAACCCGCUAAGGUCGCAUGACCUGGACGGAAAAGAUUUAUCGGUACGAGAUGGACCCGCGUCUGAUUAGCUAGUUGGUGAGGUAACGGCCCACCAAGGCGACGAUCAGUAGCCGGCCUGAGAGGGUGACCGGCCACAUUGGGACUGAGACACGGCCCAAACUCCUACGGGAGGCAGCAGUGGGGAAUAUUGCACAAUGGGGGAAACCCUGAUGCAGCAACGCCGCGUGAGUGAAGAGGUAUUUCGGUAUGUAAAGCUCUAUCAGCAGGGAAGAAAAAAUGACGGUACCUGACUAAGAAGCACCGGCUAAAUACGUG